ensembl:rRNA 5S_rRNA 5S ribosomal RNA
UCCUGCAGCCAUGCCACCUCCAGUGCUUCUCAAAGAAGUUAAACAGAGUUGGGCUUGGUCAGUACUUAGACCGCAGACUUCUCAUGAAAACUCAGGUGCUGGCAGAGU